GAUGAACGCUGGCGGCGUGCCUAAUACAUGCAAGUCGAGCGAACAGACGAGGAGCUUGUUCCUCUGACGUUAGCGGCGGACGGGUGAGUAACACGUGGAUAACCUACCUAUAAGACUGGGAUAACUUCGGGAAACCGGUGCUAAUACCGGAUAAUAUAUUGAACCGCAUGGUUCAAUAGUGAAAGACGGUUUUGCUGUCACUUAUAGAUGGAUCCGCGCCGCAUUAGCUAGUUGGUAAGGUAACGGCUUACCAAGGCAACGAUGCGUAGCCGACCUGAGAGGGUGAUCGGCCACACUGGAACUGAGACACGGUCCAGACUCCUACGGGAGGCAGCAGUAGGGAAUCUUCCGCAAUGGGCGAAAGCCUGACGGAGCAACGCCGCGUGAGUGAUGAAGGUCUUCGGAUCGUAAAACUCUGUUAUUAGGGAAGAACAAAUGUGUAAGUAACUAUGCACGUCUUGACGGUACCUAAUCAGAAAGCCACGGCUAACUACGUG
rnacentral:rRNA from 1 species